rnacentral:tRNA from 1 species
AAGUGUGUUAGUUUAAUGGUAGAACCAAGUAUUACGGCUACUUUGAUAUAAGUUCGAGUCUUAUAUACACUUG